UACAUUUUAAUAUAUGAUGUAUAAAGGCUUUUGAAGCUUUAAGAAAUAGUUUAAUUCUAUUAAAUGUAA
rnacentral:tRNA from 1 species